GAGGGUAUAGCUCAGUGGUAAAGCGUUUGUUUAGCGUGCACGAGGUCCUGGGUUUAGUCCCCAGUACCUCCA
rnacentral:tRNA from 1 species